rnacentral:rRNA from 1 species
UACGGAGGGUGCAAGCGUUGUCCGGAAUCACUGGGCGUAAAGGGCGCGUAGGCGGCUCAUGAAGGCUGUGGUGAAAGUCCGGGGCUCAACCUCGGAUCGGCCGUGGCGACUCGUGGGCUGGAGCACUGUAGAGGCGGGUGGAAUUCCGGGUGUAGCGGUGGAAUGCGUAGAGAUCCGGAAGAACACCGGAGGCGAAGGCGGCUGGCUGGGCCUGAUCUGACGCUGAGGUGCGAAAGCGUGGGGAGCGAACAGG